rnacentral:rRNA from 1 species
GACGAACGCUGGCGGCGUGCCUAAUACAUGCAAGUCGAGCGCAGGAAGCCGUCUGAACCCUUCGGGGGGACGACGGUGGAAUGAGCGGCGGACGGGUGAGUAACACGUAAAGAACCUGCCCAUAGGUCUGGGAUAACCACGAGAAAUCGGGGCUAAUACCGGAUGUGUCAUCGGACCGCAUGGUCCGCUGAUGAAAGGCGCUCCGGCGUCGCCCAUGGAUGGCUUUGCGGUGCAUUAGCUAGUUGGUGGGGUAACGGCCCACCAAGGCGCCGAUGCAUAGCCGACCGGAGAGGGUGAUCGGCCACACUGGGACUGAGACACGGCCCAGACUCCUACGGGAGGCAGCAGUAGGGAAUCUUCCACAAUGGACGAAAGUCUGAUGGAGCAACGCCGCGUGAACGAUGAAGGCUUUCGGGUCGUAAAGUUCUGUUGUAAGGGAAGAACAAGUGCCGCAGGCAAUGGCGGCACCUUGACGGUACCUUGCGAGAAAGCCACGGCUAACUACGUGCCAGCAGCCGCAGUAA